rnacentral:sRNA from 1 species
CAAUACCGAGUGGUUGAGUUUAUAACCCACCUGUUCGGUACGACAUUGCUCACAUUGCUUCCAGUAUUAUUUGCCCGCCUCACCGAGUGCGGGCUUUUUUU